UUGAAAAUCGGAUUCCGACAACGAAAAAGUUGAGUUGUGAUCGGGAAAUUGGUAGGAACGUCCAUUCCCAGGAACGUUCAUCCCCAGGAACUUGAGGUGCUAUUAAUAUGAUAUCUCUCUCUCUCUCUCUCUCUCUCUCUUCGGAUGGUACGUAACACAUCAUUCACAUUUGGAAGGGCGAUCAACCAAAAUUUGAAAGUUAGAAUGGCAGCGACGCAUCAUCAGGUCUCUACUUCUUCUUCUUCUUCUGGUUCGAUUAGUACUACUUAUGAAGUGUUCUUGAGCUUUCACGGAGAAGAUGUUCGCAAAAAAAUCGCGGACCACCUCUACCAUGACUUGGUAAAUGUUGGAAUUCGAACAUUCAGGGACUCAGAAGAACUCCGCAUGGGAAACGAGAUUGGCCCGGAACUACUCACUGCAAUCCAGGAAUCAAGCAUCUCCAUUCCCAUCUUCUCAGAGAACUAUGCACGGAGCCAAUGGUGUCUCAAUGAGCUUACCCAGAUAUCUGAAUGCAGAGGAACGAGGGAUCAGAUCGUGUUGCCCAUUUUCUACAAAGUUGAACCAAGGGAUGUGCGAAACCAGAAAAAGAAAUAUGAGGAAGCCUUUGAGGAACACCUGCCGAAGGACUUCCACAAGAUCCAAAAGUGGAAGAAGGCUCUGAGAGAGGUCGGAGGAUUGAAAGGAUGGCAUGUCCAGGAGGAGACUUAUGAAGAGGAGUUAAUAAAAGAAGUUGUUAAUGAAGUUCGAAGUGAAUUGAACAAGAGACUCUCGAGCGUUUCUAACAAGAACCUAGUUGGAAUCCAAUCUCACAUAGAAGAAAUGUUGAAGUUAUUAGAUAUUGAAUCUGACGACAGAACAAUUGUGGGCAUUCGUGGCCUCGGUGGCAUUGGAAAGACAACAAUCGCUAGGGCUGUCUAUUAUGAAAUCUUUAAACUCUUUGAAGGUCAUUGUAGCUUUAUUGCAAAUGUUCGGGAAAGUGCUAAACAAUAUGAUGGACUCAUUCGUUUGCAAAAACAACUUGUCUCUAAUAUCCUGAAGCAAGAAGAUGAAGUUAUUGAUAGUGUGGAGGACGGAAUUUCUGUGAUUCAACAAAGAUUUCGUGCAAAAAAGGUCCUUAUUGUUCUUGAUGAUGUGGAUCAAGAUGAUCAAGCAAAGUCUUUAGUUGGGGACCUUGAAUGGUUUGGUGUUGGAAGUAAGAUCAUUAUCACAUGUAGAAAUAAGGAUAUUUUAACUGCUCGAAACGGAGCUAAGAUUUAUGAGCCCAAAGAAAUGGAUUCAGGUGAUUCUCUCCAACUUUUUAGCCAUCAUGCGUUUGGAAGGGACCAACCUCUAAAAGAUCAUUUGGAUCUCUCAAAAGCUAUAGUAAAUACUACUGGAGGACUUCCCUUGGCUCUUCAAGUUAUAGGUUCAUAUUUAUUCAAAAAGGAAAAAUCAGUAUGGGAAGGUAUGUUAAAAAAGUUGCAAGAAAUUCCCCAUCCUAAUGUUAUGAAGACAUUAAAAAUAAGUUAUGAUGGAUUAGAAUAUGCGGAGCAACAAAUGUUUCUUGAUACUGCUUGUUUUUUCAUCGGAAUGGAUAAAGAUAUUGCAUGUCACAUAUGGGAAGGAUGUAAUUUCUUUCCUAAAGUAGGACUUGAUGCUCUUUGUGUAAAGUCAUUGGUAAUGAUUAAUGAAAAAAAUGAGUUAAGAAUGCACAAUCAACUUCGGGAUCUUGGAAGGGAAAUUGUUCGUCAAGAGAACAAAGAUGAACCAGGAGAGCGUUCUCGAAUAUGGUCUCAAAAGGAAGUCUUGACUGUAAUCAAUGCAAAGAAGGGUACAAGUAAUGUUAAAGGACUCAUUAUUGACUUCAGACAUAUACCAAUGAGCCAAUGUUUGAUGAAUAAAGGACUUUCUGCAAUGACAGACCUAAGAUUACUCCAAGUUGAUUAUGCAGAAUCUUUUGGGAACUUCACCAAUUCUUUUUCAGAACUGAGAUGGCUUAGUUGGAGAGGAUGCCCUGACCAAUAUGCACUAACAAAUUUUUGCCCACAAAAAUUGGUUGUUCUUGAUCUAUCACAUAGUAAAAUAACCAAUAACUGGAUGGGUUGGAACUACAUCAAGAAGGCUACAAAUCUAAAAGUUCUGAAUCUCACAUCUUGUCAUCAACUGUCUAGUACUCCUGAGUUUUCAGCAAAUCAACUCUUGGAGAUAUUGAUUCUUAAAGGCUGUAGAAAUUUGGAUGAGAUUGACACAUCCAUUUGUUGUCUCACAAACUUGGUCAUAUUAGAUAUGGGUGAAUGCAAGACACUAAAGGGUCUCCCAAGUGAAAAUUUCCAGUUGACUUCACUUAAAAGCCUCAUUUUAACUAAAUGCUCAAGUUUGACCAGCCUUGAUUUUAGUCGCUGCAGCACUUCAUUUCGGUACAUCUCAUCAGGUCUUCCCUCCUCAAGUUUGAGCAGCCUUGAUGUUAGUUGGUGCACUUCAAUUCGAUACAUCUCAGGUCUUCCCUCGAGUUUGAUUGAACUAGAUGCUAGUGAGUGUAAGUCAAUGGUAAAACUAUCAAGUACAUCAGGAGGCUUGAAAAAUUUAAAGACAUUAAGUCUUUAUGGUUGCAAAAGCCUAGAGGAAAUUGAAGGUGUUGAUGAGAAAUUGGACUCCUUGGAGGACUUCAAUAUUGAAGGUUGCAAUUCAUUAGGAAAAUUACCAAAGUUGUCAGGGUCUAAAAAUCUAACGACUUUAAAGCUCUUUGAGAACAACCUCAUAUCUGAUUUUGAAAGUGAUGGUAUGGACUCUCUGGAGGAGUUGUAUAUAUGGAAGUGCAAAUCAUUAAGAAAAAUAGCAUAUUUGCGAGAUUCAAAAAGACUAAGGAUACUAAAAAUCAGAGACUGUCCGGAGUUAUCUGAGAUAGAGUGCCUUGAGAACUAUGAAUCUUUACAAAGAUUAUCAAUUAUUAAGGCCACAUCAUUAAAAUCAUUACCGGUGGAUAUCUUAACCGGCAUGAAUAACCUGAGCUAUCUUACAAUCAGCGGGUGCUUCUUGAUGGAAAGAUUACCACGUCUUUCAAACUUAAAAGAGUUGAGGCAAUUACAUAUUGGAGAUUGCGGAGACUGUGGAGGGAUUGAGGAUUGGGAGAGCUUAAAAGAAAUUCUAGGGCUCGACAGAUUGGAGUCCAUGCGAGAAUUGGAAAUAGCAGGAUGCAUAGGCAUUCAAAGAUUACCAGAUCUGUCAAACUUAAACAAGUUAACUUCUCUAUGCAUUAGAGGCUGCAAGAAUCUAACAGAGGAGAUUCAUGGUAUUAACAGAUUGAAAAAUUUAGAGGUUUUUGUUAUUAGUGGCUGCGAGUCCUUGGAGAGAUUACCGGAUCUGUCAAAAUUGAAAAACUUGACAAAGCUAUCAAUAAAUGGCUGUAAGAAGCUAACUGAGAUUCAAGUUAGUAAUGGGUUGGAAUCUUUGGAAGACUUGGAUGUUAGUGGGUGUAUAUCCUUGGAGAGAUUACCGGGUUUGUCAAACAUGAAAAACUUGACGAAGCUAUCAACAAAUGGCUGCAAGAACUUGACAAAGCUAUCAACAAAUGGCUGCAAGAAGCUAAUUGAGAUUCAAGCUAGUAAUGGGGUGGAAUCUUUGGAAUACUUAGAUGUUAGUGGGUGUAUAUCCUUGGAGAGAUUACCAGAUUUGUCAAACUCAAAAAACUUGUUGAACUUAUCAGCAAAUGGCUGCAAGAAGCUAACUGAGAUUCAAGCUAGUAAUGGUUUGGAAUGUUUGGAAUACUUGGAUGUUAGUGGGUGUAUAUACUUGGAGAGAUUAUCGGGUCUGUCAAACUUGAAAAACUUGACGAAACUAUUUGCAAAUUGCUGCAAGAAGCUAACUGAGAUUCAAGCUAGUAAUGGGUUGGAUUGUUUGAAAUGCUUGGAUGUUAGUGGAUGUAUAACCUUGGAGAGAUUACCGGAUCUGUCAAACUCAAAAAACUUGAUGAACCUAUCAGCAAAUGGCUGCAAGAAGCUAACUGAGAUUCAAGCUGGUAAUGGGUUGGAAUCUUUGGAAUACUUGGAUGUUAGUGGGUGUAUAUCCUUGGAGAGAUUACCGGAUCUGUCAAACUCAAAAAACUUGAUGAACCUAUCAGCAAAUGGCUGCAUGAAGCUAACUGAGAUUCAAGCUAGUAAUGGGUUGGAUUGUUUGAAAUGCUUGGAUGUUAGUGGAUGUAUAUCCUUGGAGAGAUUACCGGAUCUGUCAAACUCAAAAAACUUGAUGAACCUAUCAGCAAAUGGCUGCAAGAAGCUAACUGAGAUUCAAGCUGGUAAUGGGUUGGAAUCUUUGGAAUACUUGGAUGUUAGUGGGUGUAUAUCCUUGGAGAGAUUACCGGAUCUGUCAAACUCAAAAAACUUGAUGAACCUAUCAGCAAAUGGCUGCAUGAAGCUAACUGAGAUUCAAGCUAGUAAUGGGUUGGAAUCUUUGGAAUUCUUGGAUGUUAGUGGGUGUAUAUCCUUGGAGAGAUUACCAGAUUUUUCAAACUCAAAAAACUUGUUGAACCUAUCAGCAAAUGGCUGCAAGAAGCUAACUGAGAUUCAAGCUAGUAAUGGGUUGGAAUCUUUGGAAUACUUGGAUGUUAGUGGGUGUAUAUCCUUGGAGAGAUUACCGGGUCUGUCAAACUUGAAAAACUUGACGAAGCUAUUUGCAAAUGGCUGCAAGAAACUAGCUGAGAUUCAAGCUAGUAAUGGGUUGGAUUGUUUGAAAUACUUGGAUGUUAGUGGAUGUAUAUCCUUGGAGAGAUUACCAGAUCUGUCAAACUCAAAAAACUUGAUGAACCUAUCAGCAAAUGGCUGCAAGAAGCUAACUGAGAUUCAAGCUAGUAAUGGAUUGGAAUCUUUGGAAUACUUGGAUGUUAGUGGGUGUAUAUCCUUGGAGAGAUUACUGGAUCUGUCAAACUCGAAAAACCUAAUGGUGCUAUCAACAAAUGGCUGCAAGAAGCUAACGUACUAAGAUUCAAGUUGGUAAUGGGUUUAUUCAAGGAUUUCCAUCUUAGUGAAUGGAGGACCGGUGGGACUUUCUGAAGUUGGUGGAGGUUUGAGGCAGGGUGAUCCUAUUUCUCCCAUUUUAUUUAUUUUGGCAAAGGAGGUCCUUUGUAGAGGCUUGAAGUCUAUGGUUAGAGAAGGAAAGCUAAAGCCACUUCCAGGUCCUAGAGGGUUUUGUAGGUGACCAUCUAUGAUUGUUACCUAAGGAAAUCACAUCCUUGAAAGGUUUUUGAUGUGGAAAAGAACAAGGAGAGGCCAGUAAGUGCACAGCAGCUGGUUAAGUUCACCCUCCUUUCGAUUGGCUGCUCAACUGUCAAGUGCCCUUACAAAAGACACCCCAUGCAGAUUUGUCUAAGGUGUUGCAGGAAAAUCAAUCAAAGUAAUAUCCAAGGCAUCUAUUCCAGUUAAUGCAUUAUACCAUCCUGAUAGGAGUGGGGACUGGUAGCAGAAAUGAUUUUUUUCUUUGGUGCAUGGUGUGAGUAGAUGAUGGAGGUUCUGUUAAACAAUCUUCUGUUCUUACAUUUGAUUCUCUCUAGACUGUAUCUUGAUGGCUAUCCAAAACAUUGUUGGUUGUGAAAUUCUGAGUUAUAGAGAAGGGGCAUCAUCUUGCUUGCCUAAAACAGAAGCUUCUCCCUAAAACAGAAGCUGAAUUAUACACCUUGGAUAUGAUUUUAGAAAUUACAGUGGCUGCUGUAACUCUGUUCAUUCUGCAAAUUUCAUAUUUCUCAGACAUAAAAAACUUAUAGGACUCACUUUUCUAAGGUACCUACGAUCAAUGCAAAGAGAACUUGACUCCAAUUACAUAAAAGUGAAUUGUGCUCUAUCUGAUAAAUUUGUAGGUGGCUGGUCGAACAUGAGAAGUUGUCCUUAGGAUUGACAGAUGGAGGUUUGCAAGGUUUGCUUAGAGCUUCAGCUGAAGUGUUGGCAAUAGAUCUUUGGUGUUCUUAUAUGGCUGUUUUGACUACUGAGAAAGCCAUGGUUGUGAACAAAUUGGGCUGGGAAGAAUUUGAAGAGCACAUGAGAAGGUCUGGGAGAUUGGUAAAAACUUUGGCUCUGGUCCUUGGACAGUGCAGGUAAUGGGAAAACACUUGCCAAGUGCUAGAUGAUGGUUUGAUCCCAAGCUACUUCUGUUGGUGGUUCUUAUAAGUCAUACACUCAUGCUCAUCUGUAUCCCACCACCAUGGCAGAGUUUUGUUGCUGUAUAUCACCUGUUUUGCUAGAUGUCUCCUCUUCCAUCCUCCUCAUCUUCUAUUUUUUCAGGUAUUUUUUUUUCAUUGGCAAAGGCUUCUUUUAGAAGAACUUCUAAUCCUUUUUCCCUCUGAGACUCAUUCCAAGUUGAGAGAGAUCAGCUUUUGUGCCAUGGCACCUGGUUUUUUACGAUGGAAAUCUUAUUUCAUCUAAUUGUUAAAGUUUGUUAGAGGUAACAAACUUGAAGUUUAUUGUAACAGUUUUUCUGCGUGGAUUGAUCAUUAGGCAAUCACAGAUUCCAUCAAUAUUAUUCUUCCACUGGCACUAAAUUUGAAUUAUUCAUUGGCUGGACAUCAAUGACGUUAACUGUCCACUGUGACUCUGUGACCAGACAAUUGAAGCUAGUGUUGUUGCUACCUGGGAAGUCUUUUCCAAGGUUUCGAUCUGCAAAUUUGAUUGGUGUGAUGUCUUACUUCACUGUCUGGGGCUGACAUAAUUCACAUUCUGUUGGUAAUCCCUAAUAUCAUUGUGGAUCAUAUGGCAGUUUUCAUUAUUUGGGUGUAAAGAAAAGAAUGGGGACAGUUUACAUUUACUUAAGAGGCAACUCAUAUUAUUGUUAUUCCAUUGUCAUUGGCCUCUUGUUUGGUUAGACAGUCAAGUUGUAAUUUCAGUCUCAAAAGGUAUGUGAGGAAGUGAAAUGUCUUGUCUGUACAUAUAUAUGGAAAUACACUUCUACCAUGUCACUGAUAUUGUGCAUGUAUGAUUUGAAAUAGUUUGUCAUUGACAUUUAUGUUGCUAGUUAUUAUCUAUUCUCAGAUUGAGGCACUUC